rnacentral:misc_RNA from 1 species
UAAACAUAUCACAGAUUUUACACACAGAACGUAGAACAUAAAUUUUAGGGAAUUUAAAAUCAUUUCGUGUUAGUUGGUUAGUUUGAUUGAAAUUCUUCGUAUUGAAAAUUAAGAGCCCGCUAAAUGGAAAACGCCGAAAACAAUAAGGAGCUGAAUGUUUUAACAGCCUUACCGAAGGAUAUUGAUAUCGAGAAUACCCAACACAUAUGCCUCUACCUGCGGAAUCUACGGGCACGGCUCAAGCAAACGAUACAGCAGCACACUGACUUGAUUCAGACUUCAGUGAACAUAAUCAGGGAGAUGGCUGAUGUGUCCACAAUGCUGGCAAUGACGCAGUCCGGAACAGAGCAGCAGCCUACUAAAAUCAAGCGACUGAUUAUGGACUUUGAAAACAUGCACACAGGUGACAAUGGCUUGAGCUCAGUCGAGGCAAUGGAACUGCGUGAGCUGCUCGCUGAUUUUCGACGACUUCACGAGAGUCAACUGCUGCGCGAUAGCCUGAUGUGUUUCAAGCGCGCCAAGGAGUCCUUCGAAAAGGUUGAUACCUUGCUGGGCCAAUCUGGCCAAAGUGUUCUCGGCGAAUCGGGCCAGCCAUCGCCUCAGAGCAGUCAGGCAGUGGUGAGCAGCAAUAGUGCUAGUCGCAGUCUGCGGGAGAAGAUUUUGGCCUUCAACAAGGCCUCCGAGAAGGGCCAGAAUAUGUUGCAAAAUUUUACGCAUUGCUUUAGCAAAAUGAGUACUGCGAAUAUUGCAUCUGCUGCUGAAGCGCAGGCAAACCCGACUGCAUCGCGUUCCCGCACGAAUUCCGGCUACGAGGGUGACGUGGACAGUGAAAUCGAUCAAACUGAUAAUGCCAAAAGUAAGGAACAAGUUAUCAAACCUAAUAACUGAGGCAUAUUUAUGGUUUAAGUUUAUUAUACACGUAUAUCAUACCAAAUAAUGAGCUAUGCCUAACAUGU